rnacentral:rRNA from 1 species
AUUGAACGCUGGCGGCAUGCCUUACACAUGCAAGUCGAACGGUAACAGGUUAAGCUGACGAGUGGCGAACGGGUGAGUAAUACAUCGGAACGUGCCCAGACGUGGGGGAUAGCUCGGCGAAAGCCGGAUUAAUACCGCAUAAGCUCUGAGGAGGAAAGCGGGGGACCGUAAGGCCUCGCGCGUUUGGAGCGGCCGAUGGCAGAUUAGGUAGUUGGUGGGGUAAAGGCUCACCAAGCCUACGAUCUGUAGCUGGUCUGAGAGGACGACCAGCCACACUGGGACUGAGACACGGCCCAGACUCCUACGGGAGGCAGCAGUGGGGAAUUUUGGACAAUGGGCGAAAGCCUGAUCCAGCAAUGCCGCGUGCAGGAUGAAGGCCUUCGGGUUGUAAACUGCUUUUGUACGGAACGAAAAGGCGCCUACUAAUACUGGGUGUUGAUGACGGUACCGUAAGAAUAAGCACCGGCUAACUACGUGCCAGCCGCCGCAGUAAAAC